rnacentral:rRNA from 1 species
UACGUAGGGUGCGAGCGUUGUCCGGAAUUAUUGGGCGUAAAGAGCUCGUAGGCGGCUUGUCGCGUCGUCCGUGAAAACCCACAGCUCAACUGUGGGCUUGCGGUCGAUACGGGCAGGCUAGAGUUCGGUAGGGGGAGACUGGAAUUCCUGGUGUAGCGGUGAAAUGCGCAGAUAUCAGGAGGAACACCAGUGGCGAAGGCGGUGGUCUGGGCCGGAACUGACGCUGAGGAGCGAAAGCGUGGGUAGCAAACAGG